AUGGCCGCCUCCGAUCAACAACAGCAGGCCCGCAGCAACCGGCAAGGCUUUGUGGACGAGUCCCGGUGGGUGGAGCUGAUCCGGCAGUCCCUCCGGGAGGUUCCCGGGGAGGAGGAGGACGACGGCAUCCACGUGUCCGUGUUCGACGUGCCGAAGCAGCUGCAGGUGCACAGGCCCGAUGCCUACAGGCCGCAGUUCAUCGCCCUGGGCCCCUACCACCACUGGCACCCUCACCUGUACGACAUGGAGCGCUACAAGAUCGACGCCGCCCGCCGCGCGCUCCGCGCGGCCGGCAGCAGCCUGGAGGACAUCGUCUCCAAGCUCGCGUGCCACGAGCGCCGGGUCCGUGCACACUACCACCGCCACCUCGACUUCCAAGACGGGACGCUAUCCCUCAUGAUGCUCGUGGACGGCGCAUUCCUGCUCGAGUUCCUCGCCAUCCACCACCACCACGCCGCCGCCAAGGCCAAGCCAGAGAGGGUCUCCGUCUCUAGCUGGACGUCGAGGAUGGCGCACCUCAUCGACCUGGGCGGGAGCGGGCGGAAGUCCGCUCACGGCCUCAUCCUCCGCGACAUGCUCAUGCUCGAGAACCAGAUUCCGCUCUUCCUCCUCCGUCAGAUCCUCCAGGCGACAUGUCACUCCCAGUCUCAGUCCGUCGACGAGUCCACCACGCGGCUCACGUGCAUGGUGACGGGCCUCAUGAAGGAGCUCUGCCCGUUUAAGAUGGAGGGCAACUUCCCGGACAAGGAAAUUGAGAGGGACAUCGGCAAGCAUGCGCACCUGCUCGAGCUGCUUUACUACCUGCUCGUGCCCAAGCCCUGUGAAAAUUCUGCGCCGGCGUGGUCUGGCCACGUCGACGAGGAUAUCGAGGAGCAGAGAACGGACGGCGGCGAAGAAGGCCAAGGACCUUCCUCCGGCAGCGGCAGCGAGCACGUGAUGCAAGUGCUCGCCACCAUGCGGAGAGUCGCGUCGAGGCUCAAGGGCGGCCGCCUCAGCCACGUGAUGAAGCCGAUCGAGUUUGCUGCCAAGGCGCCGUGGAAGAUGCUCACCGGCAUACCUGGCAUCUCGGCCUUGUCCAUGCCCGCGGACACCGGCGAGCAGGCGUCCACCAUGAGCCAGGACGAGGAGAUCGAGAUCCCAUCGGUCACCGAACUGGCCAGCAGCGGCGUCCGGUUUGCGCCGACCAACGGCAACCUGUCCACCAUCGCCUUCAACCGCAAGACGGGGACGCUCCACCUCCCCGCGGUGACCCUCGACUGCAACACCGAGGUGGUGCUCCGGAACCUGGUCGCCUACGAGUCGUCCGCCGCAUCGGGCCCGCUGGUGUUCACCCGGUACACGGAGCUUGUUAGUUUUAAUCUUGUCAUGGUCAUGUAUCUGCAUGGGAGAUGCUGAGGGCCGUGUGAUGCGGCAGCUUGGUGAGAUGCCGUUGUGGCGUGAAGCUGCGGUGGUGCAUGCAUGUACUGGGAUAUUAUCUAGUUAGUUAGUGCAUGGUUGGUUGAGGUAUGGCCGAGUGAUUUGGUCAAGUUAAUUAGUACGUGUAUGUAGCAGAUGGAGGUUGCAUGCAGCUGUAAUAGUGGAGUAGUUGGACACGUCCUAAACGUGAGCAUAGGAAACGGAUCAUGGAGUUGGCUCCUGGCCGUGCUAGCUGAUGUAUAUAAGUAUUGCAUUGAUUGAAUGAAACGGAGGCCGUGAGGGCUGAGGGAAAAAAGAUGUAGCAUAUGUGUGUCUCACCGGGAGAACAAAGCAAAGCUGGUUCCUCCCACGGUGAGAUGUGUGUGUGUGUAGAGUUUCUUGUGUAUGUGUGUGUUCUUGUGUUCUUGAGAGAAGAAGAUAGAGAGAAACCACAAGAGAGUUUUGUGAGGGAGCUCGAGGUAGAAGAAGAAGCGGCGCUGCGAGGAGGCGGCGCCAACAAUUGGUAUCAGAGCCAGGUUGAUCCGCGGCGGCGGCGGCGGCGUGGUGGACUCCAUGGGAGGUGGAGGACGCCGACGCGAGGUGAUGGCUGGCAGGGGCGCGAUGCCGCGGGCGGCCGGUUGCGGUGCGAUGCCGCGAGAUGAAGGUGGUGCGAUGAUCGGCGUCGCGAGGACGUCAUCCACGACAAGAUGGUCCGUGGUGACCGGCGCUGCGAUGGCGUCGGUUGUGGCGCGACGGACUUCAUGCGAGAUGGAGGCCGACGGCGCAAGAAGGAGGAUGGUGGCUAUGCGGUGCCGCUAUGUGAAGAUGGCGGUGCGAAGCUGCCACAAGAAGAGUCGGCGUGAUGCCGACGACGGUGGUGUGAUGCCAUCGUCAUCAUGGAAAGUUGGUGUGAAGCCAACAAAAGUUGCGGUGCGAUGCCGCUUGGCGAAGACGGCGUGGUGAUCGGCGCUGCGACAGCGUCGUCCACGUCAAGAGGUGGCUGCGGCGUUCGGCAAGAUGGCAUGAUGGCGCGUGCGUACGUCGGGGCGGAGGUUCAUGGGGCACCGGCGGGAGGCUAGGUGCUGCAUCAUGCGUCCAGGAACACGACGAUUGACAGCUGUGCGUCCAUGGUGAAGUUGGCUGCUGCUGGCAUGUGUCGUGCUCGCCGAAGGCAAGGUGCGACGAUGACCCAGUGAUGAGGAUAGCAGUGGUGGUGCAUCAACGGCAAGCUCCAUGAGAUAUGGAGGUCACAGUGGCGGUAGAAUCCAUGAGAUGUGGAGGCCGCAGGUGGUGGCAGACUUCGUGAGAUGCGGAGGCCGGUGUAGGUGGCCAUGGCUACCAUCGCAGGAGGGUUCGUGUGCUUAUGGCGAACACAAGUGCAGCGGCAAGGUUUUCGUGGUGACAUGCGGCGGCACUGGAAGGAAUGCGUCGUCCACGGCAAGGUGAUGUUGUGGCAAGAGGAUGUAGGUGAUCUACAUAAAAAAAUUAGAGGAGUUGACAUGGCAAGAUUAGGGGGUUGAAUGUUAGUUUUAAUCUUGUCAUGGUCAUGUAUCUGCAUGGGAGAUGCUGAGGGCCGUGUGAUGCGGCAGCUUGGUGAGAUGCCGUUGUGGCGUGAAGCUGCGGUGGUGCAUGCAUGUACUGGGAUAUUAUCUAGUUAGUUAGUGCAUGGUUGGUUGAGGUAUGGCCGAGUGAUUUGGUCAAGUUAAUUAGUACGUGUAUGUAGCA